rnacentral:piRNA from 1 species
UCCAAAUUUAUAAGAGGGCCACUUCUGA